rnacentral:lncRNA from 1 species
UUUGGGAUAGCAGUGCUUCUAAGCCUCUUUUCCUCUUCAAAUAUCUUAUAUAUGAAAUAGAAAUCGUUUUCUAUUAGUCUAAUCAUCAUUUAAAAAACUGCCAAAUUGGAUCAUGUUGUGAUGCUUUUUGGAUUAUUCUUUGAUGUCAUUUACAAGGAUAUGAAUUUUUUCAUGUGAGUAAUGACCCUGGAGGUUCUCUGGUAUGACAGGAACCUAGAGUGUGGGAUGUCAACCACAGCAGUCUGUCUGAACUGCCCAAACACUUUGCUACAAAUGGACAAGCUCCUUGAAUGUACAGGCUGCAUCCUCAGUACUUAGUGAAACAUCUGAAACAGUAAAGAUUAAAUAAGAUUGCUGAAUAAACAUAAAUCUAGAGCUCUUUAAAGUAUUACACUUAUUUAUAUUCAUGCCAUUUCUGAGACUAGAUUAUAUUUUCUAAUAACAUUUAUCAUUUCCUCUUAUAGACAUGUAAUAUGCUUGAAACAGAAAUCAUGAAAGUACAGAAAACCAUGAAGAAAUAAUUGCCUAUCCAAAGAAAAUUAUUAUAUUUCUCAUAUAUCCUUUCAGUAUAUCUUUAAAUUGUUUUCUUU